GACGAACGCUGGCGGCGUGCCUAAUACAUGCAAGUCGAGCGGGUUUAUCCUUCGGGAUAAGCUAGCGGCGGACGGGUGAGUAACACGUAGGUAACCUGCCUUCAAGACUGGGAUAACUAUCGGAAACGAUAGCUAAGACCGGAUAACCGGUUUUCUCGCAUGAGAGAAUCGUAAAACACGGAGCAAUCUGUGGCUUGGAGAUGGGCCUGCGGCGCAUUAGCUAGUUGGUGAGGUAACGGCUCACCAAGGCGACGAUGCGUAGCCGACCUGAGAGGGUGAACGGCCACACUGGGACUGAGACACGGCCCAGACACCUACGGGAGGCUG
rnacentral:rRNA from 1 species